rnacentral:rRNA from 1 species
UACGGAGGGUGCGAGCGUUGUCCGGAAUCAUUGGGCGUAAAGGGCGCGUAGGCGGCUUGGCAAGUGGAUGGUGAAAUCCCUCGGCUUAACCGAGGAACUGCCAUCCAGACUGCUUUGCUUGAGGCCGGGGAGAGGUGAGUGGAAUUCCCAGUGUAGCGGUGAAAUGCGUAGAUAUCGGAAGGAACACCAGUGGCGAAAGCGGCUUCCUGGUCCAGCACCGACGUCAGGCACGAAAGCGUGGGGAGCAAACAGG